rnacentral:rRNA from 1 species
AUGAGUAACAGGUCGUAGACCCGAAACCAGGUGAUCUACCCAUGUCCAGGAUGAAGGUGAGGUAAUACUCACUGGAGGUCCGAACCCACGCACGUUGAAAAGUGCGGGGAUGAGGUGUGGGUAGCGGAGAAAUUCCAAUCGAACCUGGAGAUAGCUGGUUCUCUCCGAAAUAGCUUUAGGGCUAGCCUCGAGGUAAAGAGUCGUGGAGGUAGAGCACUGUUUGGACUAGGGGCCCUUCUCGGGUUACCGAAUUCAGAUAAACUCCGAAUGCCAUGUACUUAUACUCGGGAGUCAGACUGCGAGUGAUAAGAUCCGUAGUCGAAAGGGAAACAGCCCAGACCACCAGUUAAGGUCCCAAAAUAUAUGUUAAGUGGAAAAGGAUGUGGGGUUGCAUAGACAACCAGGAUGUUGGCUUAGAAGCAGCCACCAUUGAAAGAGUGCGUAAUAGCUCACUGGUCGAGUGACCCCGCGCCGAAAAUGUACCGGGGCUAAACAUAUUACCGAAACUGUGGAUGAACCUCUUCGGAGGUUCGUGGUAGGAGAGCGUUCUAAGGGCGGUGAAGUCAGACCGGAAGGACUGGUGGAGCGCUUAGAAGUGAGAAUGCCGGUAUGAGUAGCGAAAGAAGGGUGAGAAUCCCUUCCACCGAAUAUCUAAGGUUUCCUGAGGAAGGCUCGUCCGCUCAGGGUUAGUCGGGACCUAAGCUGAGGCCGAUAGGCGUAGGCGAUGGACAACAGGUAGAUAUUCCUGUACCAGUGCUAGUUGUUUGAGCAAUGGGGUGACACAGAAGGAUAGGGAAUCGCACAGAUGGAAACGUGCGUCCAAGCAGUGAGUGUGAGAAGUAGGCAAAUCCGCUUCUCGCGAAGCAUGAGCUGUGAUGGGGAAGGAAAUUAAGUACGGAAGUUCCUGAUUUCACGCUGUCAAGAAAAGCCUCUAGUUAGAUUAGUACUGCCCGUACCGCAAACCGACA